rnacentral:rRNA from 1 species
GACGAACGCUGGCGGCGUGCUUAACACAUGCAAGUCGAACGAAGUGGCGAACGGGUGAGUAACGCGUAAUCAACAUGCCCUUCAGCGGGGGACAAAAGUUGGAAACGACUGCUAAUAACGCAUACUGAAGGCGGGGAUUGCGUCUGAUUAGCUAGUUGGAGGGGUAACGGCACACCAAGGCGAUGAUCAGUAGCCGGUCGGGGAGUAUGAACGGCCACAUUGGGACUGAGACACGGCCCAGACUCCUACUGGAGGCAGCAGUGGGGAAUCUUCCGCAAUGGACGAAAGUCUGACGGAGCAACGCGGCGUGAGUGAUGACGGCCUUCGGGUUGUAAAGCUCUGUUAAUCGGGACGCGGUACCGGAAUAGAAAGCCACGGCUAACUACGUGCCAGCAGCCGCGGUAAUUC